rnacentral:rRNA from 1 species
AUUGAACGCUGGCGGCAGGCCUAACACAUGCAAGUCGAACGGUAACAGGAAGCAGCUUGCUGCUUUGCUGACGAGUGGCGGACGGGUGAGUAAUGUCUGGCAAACUGCCUGAUGGAGGGGGAUAACUACUGGAAACGGUAGCUAAUACCGCAUAACGUCGCAAGACCAAAGGGGGGGACCUUCGGGCCUCUUGCCAUCGGAUGUGCCCAGAUGGGAUUAGCUAGUAGGUGGGGUAACGGCUCACCUAGGCGACGAUCCCUAGCUGGUCUGAGAGGAUGACCAGCCACACUGGAACUGAGACACGGUCCAGACUCCUACGGGAGGCAGCAGUGGGGAAUAUUGCACAAUGGGCGCAAGCCUGAUGCAGCCAUGCCGCGUGUAUGAAGAAGGCCUUCGGGUUGUAAAGUACUUUCAGCGGGGAGGAAGGGAGUCAAGUUAAUACCUUUGCUCAUUGACGUUACCCGCAGAAGAAGCACCGGCUAACUCCGUG